UGCAGGCUGCAACUCGCCUGCAUGAAGCUGGAAUUGCUAGUAAUCGCGGAUCAGCAAGCCGCGGUGAAUACGUUCCCGGGCCUUGUACACACCGCCCGUCACACCAUGAGAGUUGGAGAUACCCGAAGCCUAUGAGCUAACUUUUAGAGGCAGUAGUCGAAGGUAGAAUCAAUGAUUGGGUGAAGUCGUAACAAGGUACC
rnacentral:rRNA from 1 species